UACGUAGGGGGCAAGCGUUGUCCGGAUUUAUUGGGCGUAAAGAGCGUGUAGGCGGCCAGGUAGGUCUGGUGUGAAAACUCGAGGCUUAACCUCGAGAUGUCAUCGGAAACCAUUUGGCUAGAGUCCGGAAGAGGAGAGUGGAAUUCCUGGUGUAGCGGUGAAAUGCGCAGAUAUCAGGAAGAACACCAAUGGCGAAAGCAGCUCUCUGGGACGGUACUGACGCUGAGAAGCGAAAGCAUGGGGAGCGAACAGG
rnacentral:rRNA from 1 species